rnacentral:rRNA from 1 species
UACGUAGGGUGCAAGCGUUGUCCGGAAUUAUUGGGCGUAAAGAGCUCGUAGGCGGUUUGUCGCGUCGAAUGUGAAAACCCGGGGCUCAACUCCGGGCCUGCAGUCGAUACGGGCUGGCUUGAGUGCGGUAGGGGAGACUGGAAUUCCUGGUGUAGCGGUGAAAUGCGCAGAUAUCAGGAGGAACACCGGUGGCGAAGGCGGGUCUCUGGGCCGUAACUGACGCUGAGGAGCGAAAGCGUGGGGAGCGAACAGG